CAGUCGCCGCGGUAAUACGUAGGGUGCAAGCGUUAAUCGGAAUUACUGGGCGUAAAGCGUGCGCAGGCGGUUAUAUAAGUCAGAUGUGAAAUCCCCGGGCUCAACCUGGGAACUGCAUUUGAGACUGUAUGGCUAGAGUGUGUCAGAAGGGGGGUAGAAUUCCACGAGUAGCAGUGAAAUGCGUAGAUAUGUGGAGGAAUACCGAUGGCGAAGGCAGCCCCCUGGGAUAACACUGACGCUCAUGCACGAAAGCGUGGGGAGCAAACAGGAUUAGAUACCCCUGUAGUCCCUGUAUCUUAUA
rnacentral:rRNA from 1 species